GACUAUGGCCAUGCCACCCUGAACAAGCCCAAUCCCGUCUGAUCUCGGAAGCUAAGUAGGGUUAGGCUUGGUUAGUACUUGGAUGGGAGACCAACUAGGAAAACCAGGUGCUGUAGGUG
rnacentral:rRNA from 1 species